rnacentral:rRNA from 1 species
CCAAUAGCGUAUAUUAAAGUUGUUGCAGUUAAAAAGCUCGUAGUUGAAUUUCGGGAUUGACACAUCGGUCGUGCCUUAAGGGGUAUGAACUGGUGUAGUCAAUUUCUCACCUUCUGGAGAACCGCAAUGCCCUUAAUUGGGUGUCGCGGGGAACCAGGACCUUUACUUUGAAAAAAUUAGAGUGUUUAAAGCAGGCAUUUUGCUUGAAUACAUUAGCAUGGAAUAAUAAAAUAGGACGGCAUGAUUCUAUUUUGUUGGUUUCUAGGAUCACCGUAAUGAUUAAUAGGGAUAGUUGGGGGCAUUAGUAUUCAAUUGUCAGAGGUGAAAUUCUUGGAUUUAUUGAAGACUAACUACUGCGAAAGCAUUUGCCAAGUAUGUUUUCAUUAAGCAAGAACGAAAGUUAGGGGAUCGAAGACGAUCAGAUACCGUCGUAGUCUUAACCAUAAACUAUGCCGACUAGGAAUCAGACGAUGUUAAUUUUUUAAUGACUCGUUUGGCACCUUACG